GCCUGCGCGGCGCGGGAAAGCUGAGUCACGGCGGCGAGGCCGCGGCCGUUUGGCGGCCGUGCGGCGGGGCGGCCUCACCGGGAGCCGCGCCCUGCGAGGGUCCGAGCCCGCGCCGCAGAGGUGCCACCGCGAGACCACUUGCCUUUAAAGACCAACCUUGCCGUCCGUUGUUGAUUGGUUCACGUUGAACUCAGGGCCCGCCGUGCUGUGAGUCACGCCCGAACCCAGCCUGUCCGCUGCUGUUCUCUGGAGGGUGCAUCGCAGCCUCCUGGUGCCUCGGAAACUGGACAGCACCUAAACACCAGCCUGGAGGCCCCUUGAAGCCGAAAGAUUGCCACCAGAAAGCUUAAAACUGUGAAGACCGUAACACUGACUAGGCCGUGGAACGGAAGCUUAUUUACCGUGUCAGAAC